GCGAACGUGGUGAAACUGGUAGACACGCUAUCUUCAGACGGUAGUGUCUUUUGACAUGUGGGUUCGAAUCCCAUUAUCUGCACCA
rnacentral:tRNA from 1 species